rnacentral:rRNA from 1 species
ACGGCGAGUGAAGCGGCAACAGCUCAAAUUUGAAAUCUGGCCCCGUCCGCGGGUCCGAGUUGUAAUUUGCAGAGGAUGCUUUCGGCGAGGCGCCUUCCGAGUGCCCUGGAACGGGCCGCCGCAUAGGGUGAGAGCCCCGUACGGUCGGACGCCGAGCCGGUGUAAAGCUCCCUCGACGAGUCGAGUAGUUUGGGAAUGCUGCUCUAAACGGGAGGUAAACCCCUUUCUAAAGCUAAAUACCGGCCAGAGACCGAUAGCGCACAAGUAGAGUGAUCGAAAGAUGAAAAGCACUUUGAAAAGAGAGUCAAACAGCACGUGAAAUUGUUGAAAGGGAAGCGCUUGUGGCCAGACUUGCGCCCGGCGGGCUCAGCCGUCCUCGUGGGCGGGUGCAACUCCGCCGGGCGCAGGCCAGCAUCAGCUCGUGGCGGGGGAGAAAGGCGGCGGGAACGUGGCUCUUCGGAGUGUUAUAGCCCCCGCUACGCCCCACCGCGGGCUGAGGUACGCCGCUCCGCAAGGAUGCUGGCGUAAUGGCCAUCAGCGACCCGUCUUGAAACACGGACCAAGGAGUCGUCCUAGCAUGCGAGUGUUAGGGUGCAAAACCCCUACGCGAAAUGAAAGUGAACGGAGGUGAGAGCUUCGGCGCAUCAUCGACCGAUCCUGAUGUUCUCGGAUGGAUUUGAGUAGGAGCAUGCUGGGCCGGACCCGAAAGAAAGUGAACUAUGCUUGGAUAGGGCAAAGCCAGAGGAAACUCUGGUGGAGGCUCGCAGCGGUUCUGACGUGCAAAUCGAUCGUCAAAUCUGAGCAUGGGGGCGAAAGACUAAUCGAACUUUCUAGUAGCUGGUUUCCUGCCGAAGUUUCCCUCAGGAUAGCAGUGUUGAGCUUCAGUUUUAUGAGGUAAAGCGAAUGAUUAGGGACCCGGGGGCGCUCAUUAGCCUUCAUCCAUUCUCAAACUUUAAAUAUGUAAGAAGCCCUCGUUGCUUCGGUGAACGUGGGCAUUCGAAUGUAUCAGCACUAGUGGGCCAUUUUUGGUAAGCAGAACUGGCGAUGCGGGAUGAACCGAUCGCGAGGUUAAGGUGCCAGAGUAGACGCUCAUCAGACACCACAAAAGGUGUUAUCACAUCUUGACAGCAGGACGGUGGCCAUGGAAGUCGGAAUCCGCUAAGGACUGUGUAAGUUGACAUCGCUCUCCCCUAACCUCACGUUUUUUUUUUUCAGUGCAAGAACCAACGCUAACUCGCUAAUUUUCUAGGUAACAACUCACCUGCCGAAUGUGAUAGCCCUGAAAAUGGAUGGCGCUCAAGCGUCUCACCCAUACCUCGCCUUCAGGGUAGAAACGA